rnacentral:rRNA from 1 species
CGCACAAGCGGUGGAGCAUGUGGUUUAAUUCGACGCAACGCGCAGAACCUUACCAGCCCUUGACAUACCAAUCGCGAUUUCCAGAGAUGGAUUUCUUCAGUUCGGCUGGAUUGGAUACAGGUGCUGCAUGGCUGUCGUCAGCUCGUGUCGUGAGAUGUUGGGUUAAGUCCCGCAACGAGCGCAACCCCCGCCUUCAGUUACCAUCAUUUAGUUGGGUACUCUGGAGGGACUGCCGGUGAUAAGCCGGAGGAAGGUGGGGAUGACGUCAAGUCCUCAUGGCCCUUAUGGGCUGGGCUACACACGUGCUACAAUGGCGAUGACAGAGAGUUGCGACACAGCGAUGUGGAGCUAAUCUCGAAAAAUCGUCUCAGUUCGGAUUGUUCUCUGCAACUCGAGAGCAUGAAGGUGGAAUCGCUAGCAAUCGCAGAUCAGCAUGCUGCGGUGAAUACGUUCCCGGGCCUUGUACACACCGCCCGUCACACCAUGGGAGUUGGUUUUACCCGAAGGUAGUGGGCUAACCUAGUUUACUAGGAGGCAGCUAACCACGGUAGGGUCAGCGACUGGGGUG